CAUUUAUAAUUUUCAACUUGAUUUAUUAUUAUCGAAACUUAAUUUUGACAUUAAAACUGCACUACUAUCGCAACAAUCCAUCGCGUUGAAGUCAGCAAAAACAAAUGUCGUCUAUUAGAUAGUUUAUGUAUUCAACAGCAACUACAGCUUUGCUCGAACAUACGACCAAAGUCUUUAACGCAUAAAUUAUAUAUUGUCUAUAAACAAUGGUAUACUGUUCGUUAUACUUGUAUGGUUACAAUGAGAAUUGUUAAUCUAUCAAGGAAACCGAGGCGGAGGAUGAUGUAAUUUUACGGAUGAUGAAAAUCUAAUCGUGUUUCUAUCGUAGUAAUAUUAACUGUAUGCUGAAUUGUGUUAUGUAUUGCGAUUCUUAUUAAAACAUAAUUGUUGUACAUUAUUGUAUGGGGUACAACAAUAAUUACGGCAGUCGGCGGUGGUGCGUAAUGUGAUUGAACUCCCCUUCUUUUGGGGUAAGCCGCCAUUGCCGCGCACAACAGGUACCGCCGCAGAAGAGACGACCUCGUUGGUAAAUUGAUUUGCGGCAUUCAAUUAUUAUUAAAAUUACCAAAUCGUCAGCCAAACUUUGACGAGCUCGUUGAAAAGUAAUGUACUUAUAGACACAGCACAGCGAUAAUAAUUCCAACAUUGUUAUUAUUAUUAUAAGUCGAUGCGGAGUUGGUCGAAAACGGUUUUAAAUUAAUUUUCAGAUUUAACGACAAAAAGCCAACAACAAUAAUACAAUUUAAAUAACAUCAUCGGGAAAUUUAAUGCGCUUUCGAAACUAAAUAGAAAUCAGUUUCAUUCGGCAAUCUUAAAUAUUAAUAAUGCAUUGGAUUUUACUUAUGAAAAUUCAAUAUGACUGUUCAGAUUUUAUGGCUCUGGUGAAUCAAUCCUCUCGAUAGCAGCAAACACAAAAUACAUUUUAAAUCUAUUCAUAAAAUUAAAGUAACGCGGUACUUUAAUUUGAAAAAGUAACGAUCGGCUUCAGUCAUGUGAUACGUUUCUGUGUAAAUAUUUUCAUUCUUUGCUAGGAAAAAAUGCAUUAUUUACAUGAAUGACUGAGACACCUAAAUUACAUAAAGAUUUAUGAAAAGUCUAACAUAGAUUUUAUCUUGAGAAGGAAAUAGUCAAUAUUGUUAUGACUGGAUAAAAAAAGUAUUAUCAAACGACCAAAAAACUUGAAACAUAUUGGUUUGGUGCAUUUAUUUAAGUAUAUGAGAAUUAUUUAUAAGUUUGAAGUAAGUAAAGUUAAGUACAGUUGAAUUUUGUUUCGGCACUGUCAGCGUUCUGCGAUUGCAUCGACCAAAGUCUCCAAAUGCACACGAUAAACGAAAU